UACAGACGGUCCCAAGCGUUGUUCGGAUUCACUGGGCGUAAAGGGUGCGUAGGCGGUCGGGUAAGUCUGACGUGAAAUCUUCAAGCUUAACUUGGAAACUGCGUCGGAUACUAUUCGGCUGGAGGAAUGGAGGGGAGACUGGAAUACUUGGUGUAGCAGUGAAAUGCGUAGAUAUCAAGUGGAACACCAGUGGCGAAGGCGAGUCUCUGGACAUUUCCUGACGCUGAGGCACGAAAGCCAGGGGAGCAAACGGG
rnacentral:rRNA from 1 species